UUUUUGAAUGUCUAAUCAGAAUCUCCUUUCCUGCAACGUGGAGCCAUUGGUUUGAGUCCUAUCCACCAGAGCAGGAGAAAAUGAACCUGUUCUCUCUUCCAUGUUGCAGCCCCUGGGAUAUUUGAAGAUGGCUACCCUAUUUCCUUCUCAGUCUCCUCUUUUCCAAGCUAAACAUACCCAGCUCCUUCAACU